rnacentral:rRNA from 1 species
AUUGAACGCUGGCGGAAUGCUUUACACAUGCAAGUCGAGCGGCAGCGCGGGGGCAACCCUGGCGGCGAGCGGCGAACGGGUGAGUAAUGCAUCGGAACGUACCCAGUCGUGGGGGAUAACGUGGCGAAAGUCACGCUAAUACCGCAUACGUCCUGAGGGAGAAAGCAGGGGAUCGCAAGACCUUGCGCGAUUGGAGCGGCCGAUGUCUGAUUAGCUAGUUGGUGGGGUAAAGGCCUACCAAGGCGACGAUCAGUAGCUGGUCUGAGAGGACGAUCAGCCACACUGGGACUGAGACACGGCCCAGACUCCUACGGGAGGCAGCAGUGGGGAAUUUUGGACAAUGGGCGCAAGCCUGAUCCAGCCAUGCCGCGUGAGUGAAGAAGGCCU